GGUUAAGCGACUAAGCGUACACGGUGGAUGCCCUGGCAGUCAGAGGCGAUGAAGGACGUGCUAAUCUGCGUAAAGCGUCGGUAAGGUGAUAUGAACCGCUACAGCCGACGAUGUCCGAAUGGGGAAACCCGGUGCACCCAGUGCAUCAUCGCAACAUGAAUACAUAGUGUUGCGAGGCGAACCCGGGGAACUGAAACAUCUAAGUACCCGGAGGAAAAGAAAUCAACCGAGAUUCCCCCAGUAGCGGCGAGCGAACGGGGAACAGCCCAGAACCUGAAUCAGUUUGUGCGUUAGUGGAAGCGUCUGGAAAGUCGCACGAUACCGGGUGAUAGUCCCGUACACGAAAGUGCACAGAUUGUGAGUUCGAAGAGUAGGGCGGGACACGUGGUAUCCUGUCUGAAUAUGGGGGGACCAUCCUCCAAGGCUAAAUACUCCUGACUGACCGAUAGUGAACCAGUACCGUGAGGGAAAGGCGAAAAGAACCCCGGCGAGGGGAGUGAAACAGAACCUGAAACCGUGUACGUACAAGCAGUGGGAGCCUCUUUAAUGGGGUGACUGCGUACCUUUUGUAUAAUGGGUCAGCGACUUAUAUUCUGUAGCAAGGUUAACCGUAUAGGGGAGCCGCAGGGAAACCGAGUCUUAACUGGGCGUUAAGUUGCAGGGUAUAGACCCGAAACCCGGUGAUCUAGCCAUGGGCAGGUUGAAGGUUGGGUAACACUAACUGGAGGACCGAACCGACUAAUGUUGAAAAAUUAGCGGAUGACUUGUGGCUGGGGGUGAAAGGCCAAUCAAACCGGGAGAUAGCUGGUUCUCCCCGAAAGCUAUUUAGGUAGCGCCUCGUGAACUCAUCUCCGGGGGUAGAGCACUGUUUCGGCUAGGGGGCCAUCCCGGCUUACCAACCCGAUGCAAACUGCGAAUACCGGAGAAUGUUAUCACGGGAGACACACGGCGGGUGCUAACGUCCGUCGUGAAGAGGGAAACAACCCAGACCGCCAGCUAAGGUCCCAAAGUCAUGGUUAAGUGGGAAACGAUGUGGGAAGGCACAGACAGCCAGGAUGUUGGCUUAGAAGCAGCCAUCAUUUAAAGAAAGCGUAAUAGCUCACUGGUCGAGUCGGCCUGCGCGGAAGAUGUAACGGGGCUAAACCAUGCACCGAAGCUGCGGCAGC
rnacentral:rRNA from 1 species